rnacentral:rRNA from 1 species
UGGGGAAUUUUGGACAAUGGGCGAAAGCCUGAUCCAGCAAUGCCGCGUGUGUGAAGAAGGCCUUCGGGUUGUAAAGCACUUUUGUCCGGAAAGAAAUCCUUGGCUCUAAUACAGUCGGGGGAUGACGGUACCGGAAGAAUAAGCACCGGCUAACUACGUGCCAGCAGCCGCGGUAAUACGUAGGGUGCAAGCGUUAAUCGGAAUUACUGGGCGUAAAGCGUGCGCAGGCGGUUUGCUAAGACCGAUGUGAAAUCCCCGGGCUCAACCUGGGAACUGCAUUGGUGACUGGCAGGCUAGAGUAUGGCAGAGGGGGGUAGAAUUCCACGUGUAGCAGUGAAAUGCGUAGAGAUGUGGAGGAAUACCGAUGGCGAAGGCAGCCCCCUGGGCCAAUACUGACGCUCAUGCACGAAAGCGUGGGGAGCAAACAGGAUUAGAUACCCUGGUAGUCCACGCCCUAAAACGAUGUCAACCAGUUGUUGGGGAUUCAUUUCCUUAGUAACGUAGCUAACGCGUGAAGUUGACCGCCUGGGGAGUACGGUCGCAAGAUUAAAACUUAAAGGAAUUGACGGGGUCAUAGCUGUUUCCU